AGUCAAAGUUGUAAAAGAUCUGCAAGGCUUUUUUGCAUAUCGGUUCCACCAGAGCAUGAAGGGAGCUGGAACAAAAGAUCAGCAUUUAAUACGACUCUUAGUGAGCCGUUCUGAGAUUGACCUGGGUAGGAUCAAAGAAGAGUUUAUGAAGCUAUACAGUAAGACUCUGGCCAGCUUCAUCAAGGGUGACACGAGCGGGGACUACAGAAAGAUGUGUCUCGGCCUUCUCGGAGAGAGUGCGUAACUCACACCACCAGCACUCGCACCGGGUGCGAGUUCAGGAGGUGGCGAGUGAGUGCUUGCAAUCAGUGAACAUUUAGGUGCCUGGGCUCCUGAAUCUGGCUCAGCUAUCUGUGUCUAUCAGCAGGCCCAUCAUAGAUCAUUUUUAUAUGUAUAGGUGUUGUAAUUGUUCUUCAGUCAGUGAACAUUUAAGUGCCUGGGCUUCAGAACCUAGCUCAGCUAUCUGCGUCUAUCAGCAGGCCCAUCAUAGAUCAUUUUUAUAUGUAUAGGUGUUGUAAUUGUUCUUCAGUCAGUGAACAUUUAGGUGCCUGGGCUUCAGAACCUAGCUCAGCUAUCUGCGUCUAUCAGCAGGCCCAUCAUAUAUCAUUUUUAUAUUUAUAGGUGUAGUAAUUGUUCUUCUUACACACCCGUUUGUGACAACAUUAUUUGUUACUUUUAAUAACACAUACUGUUAACACACAUACGUGUGAUAGCAGGCCUCACGCGAGGUCAAAAUCAUAGAACAAAGUCACUUCUCUCUGACACUUUUGAGAGGGCGAAGUUUUUACCAGGAGGGAGACAUGACUUUUUAAUGUAACCCCCCCCCCCCAAUACGCAAAAAGAGUUAUAUUAACCCAAUACAGUCAAACCUGUAUUAAACGGCGACACAUGUGGGUAGACAAAAGUGACUGCUUAAGACAAGUCGCUGAUGAAUACAGGUGCAACUUUUACAUUCUGAAAACAAAUUUCCUUUCUUUUUUACUGUCAGUACUGCUAAUUGAUGGAAGUGCUCUAAAGUUUUCUAAAAAUCACAUUUCCACAUGUUGCCUUCUUCAAAAACAACAAAAUGUAACUGAAAAACACUAAUUUAACUGUUUGGAAUUCAUUAUCUCCAAAGUUUGUCCAUCUCUUUUCAUUUAAUUAUUGGACUGCACGCAUGCGCAGCAUUCAGUCUCCAUGAGCCUUUACUAUCAUUUUAAAAUUGGAGUCUGUGUAGGGACAUUGUGAUGCCAUGAUACACCCAACCACCAAUAUCCCUCCUGCCCCAGCAUUGGUUACUUGCGAUGUCGGAGAUUAAGUCCGGGGUGGGCGUGCCUGAACCUUCGGGACAUAGGCAUGUUAAUAGAGUUCCCUUCCAUUACUCCAAUAUCAUCUACAACAGUCCUGAAUACAAAAGGAAAUCAUCUCUCCCUUUUUUUCUUUUUUUAAAAAUGUUUUAUUAAACUAGAUUCAUACUUCAUCGCUGACUCUUUCCUGGCGAAUUAUUGACUUGCCCAGUUCUGCUUCUGUUAAACCUAAUCCUCAUUAUUUCAGUGAAUUCAGUUUUAACACAGUUCAUAUUACAUUUUUGUGUGCGUUCUCAUUCAAGACUUUUUCAUUUACAAUGUGUCGACUUAAUAAAUAAAGUAAAGAUCAGUUUCGCAUGAGGUUAGCGAUCAAAGAAUGAAUUGACCUUUAGAUGAAGAAAUUGAUUUAUAUGUAUAAAGUAACUAAAGACCUUUUAAAAUGCUUGAUAUUUUCAUCGUAUUUCUCUUGCCAAAGACACCCACAACCCAAUUCUAUAUUUAUGCAUAGUUUCAUUUGACUAAUUAAUGCAUAUUUAUUACUAUUGUUGACAUUCCUGUUAAUUUUUUCUAUAAAAGUGUUAACAUUUUUAGAUUAUAUAUAUGUAAAUAUAGACAUUAAACAUAUAUUUAGACUUUUAUUUUAUCUUUAAAAAUUAACAAGGUUGUUUCUUAGUCCAUUUUAUUUGGGGAGGGUUUUUUGUUUUUCUUUCUUCUCUUUUUUGUUGUAAAAUACUGCCUUAUAACAAACGUUUUCCCCAGGGUACGGGCUCCAAGAUGGACUUGUAUACAGUCUAAUAUUUCUAAAGCUCAGAUUAUUGAAUUCCCUAUAAAUUUGUACUCACUUAUAAAUUAUAGAGUUUGUUUUUGUUUGUGGCUUAUGCUAAUCUAAAACUACCAUCUGCCAGCAGAAAGUUGGCCAACUCGAUGGUUGCAUUGUAAUUCCCCCAAUUCCCAACUUACAACUAACAACUAAUGGGAUAUACUACGAGAAUAGAAUUGUAAGAGCACGACUAGCAACUGGAUAGUCAUGACAGUCGUGAUAGUUGUGACAGCAGAAAGUUGGCCAACUUUGUGCUGGCAGUUGGUAGUCUGACACUAGCAUUAACCAUGACUCUGUGACUACGAAAUUGAUGAAUUCUGAUUGCUAUGUGACAAAAGAUUAGGAAGAUUAUUAAAGAAAUAAAUGUUUGUAUCCA